CGAUGGAGGGGGAUAACUACUGGAAACGGUAGCUAAUACCGCAUAACGUCGCAAGACCAAAGAGGGGGACCUUAGGGCCUCUUGCCAUCGGAUGUGCCCAGAUGGGAUUAGCUAGUAGGUGGGGUAACGGCUCACCUAGGCGACGAUCCCUAGCUGGUCUGAGAGGAUGACCAGCCACACUGGAACUGAGACACGGUCCAG
rnacentral:rRNA from 1 species